GCGGAUGUGGCGGAAUUGGCAGACGCGCAAGAUUUAGGAUCUUGUAUCUUUAUGAUGUGAGGGUUCAAGUCCCUUCGUCCGCA
rfam:Lactobacillus pontis DSM 8475 NODE_161, whole genome shotgun sequence.